rnacentral:rRNA from 1 species
GAUGAACGCUAGCGAUAGGCCUAACACAUGCAAGUCGAGGGGCAUCACAUGAAGUAGCAAUACGGAUGGUGGCGACCGGCGCACGGGUGAGUAACACGUAUGCAACCUGCCUUCAACAAGGGGAUAACCCGUUGAAAGACGGACUAAUACCCUAUAACACAGGGGUCCCGCAUGGGAAUAUUUGUUAAAGGACAACCGGUUGAAGAUGGGCAUGCGUUCCAUUAGCUAGUUGGCGGGGUAACGGCCCACCAAGGCAACGAUGGAUAGGGGAACUGAGAGGUUUAUCCCCCACACUGGUACUGAGACACGGACCAGACUCCUACGGGAGCAGCAGUGAGGAAUAUUGGUCAAUGGACGCAAGUCUGAACCAGCCACGUCGCGUGAAGGAAGACGGCCCUACGGGUUGUAAACUUCUUUUAUACGGGAAUAAAGUGCCCCACGCGUGGGGUUUUGCAUGUACCGUAUGAA